AGGGGAGUAGCUCAGCUGGUAGAGCGGCGGUCUCCAAAACCGUAGGUUGCAGGUUCGAUCCCUGUCUCCCCUG
rnacentral:tRNA from 1 species